UUUUUUUUUUUUUUUUGAAAUAUUCAAACAUAAACAGCUUGAUUAACCUAAUUUGCAAUUCAAUUUCAACCGAUCCACUUUGAUUUUACGAUUUGUCUGCUCACCCCUAUGCAAUUAUGAUAACUUGCUAAGCAGUAGACAUGUAUAAAUCACCAAAUGAAGAAAACGAAAUUCCGAUCAAAUCAAUUACGGAUAUGAAAUGAAUUUACAUCAGCCAGAAACAUGACAAAAUCCCUGCAAAUUGGGUUAAUGUGAUUCACUUUCCCUUCUUAAUAAAAAUCUUAACCUUCUCUUGCAGGAGAAGGGAACAUCCAUCUUCAGUUGCAUCACUAGGAAGCCUAGAUUAGCUUUCCACCAUUGGCUCA
rnacentral:misc_RNA from 1 species